rnacentral:rRNA from 1 species
UACAGAGGGUGCGAGCGUUGUUCGGAAUUACUGGGCGUAAAGCGCGCGCAGGCGGCCUUUUAAGUCUGACGGUGAAAUGCCGGGGCUCAACCCCGUGCCCGCCGGAGAUACUGGGAGGCUGGAGACGAGUAGAGGCAAGCGGAAUUCCGGGUGUAGCGGUGGAAUGCGUAGAGAUCCGGAAGAACACCGGAGGCGAAGGCGGCUUGCUGGGCUCAUGUCUGACGCUGAGGCGCGAAAGCGUGGGGAGCGUACAGG